rnacentral:rRNA from 1 species
GGGUAGAUCUCCCACCCUGUGUUAUUAUUACCUUUGUUGCUUUGGCGGGCCGUCUAGCUUCGGCCAGGCUACCGGCUCCGGCUGGUAAGCGCCCGCCAGAGGACCCCAAACCCUGAAUGUUAGUGUCGUCUGAGUACUAUAUAAUAGUUAAAACUUUCAACAACGGAUCUCUUGGUUCUGGCAUCGAUGAAGAACGCAGCGAAAUGCGAUAAGUAAUGUGAAUUGCAGAAUUCAGUGAAUCAUCGAAUCUUUGAACGCACAUUGCGCCCCUUGGUAUUCCGAGGGGCAUGCCUGUUCGAGCGUCAUUACAACCCUCAAGCACUGCUUGGUGUUGGGCCUCGCCGCUAACCCGGCGGGCUCUAAAAACAGUGGCGGUGCCGUCGGGCUCUGAGCGUAGUAAUUCUUCUCGCUAUAGAGUCCCGGUGGAUGCUGGCCAACAACCCCCAAUUUUCUAUGGUUGACCUCGGAUCA